UACGGAGGGAGCUAGCGUUGUUCGGAAUUACUGGGCGUAAAGCGCACGUAGGCGGCUUUGUAAGUUAGAGGUGAAAGCCCGGAGCUCAACUCCGGAAUUGCCUUUAAGACUGCAUCGCUUGAAUCCAGGAGAGGUGAGUGGAAUUCCGGGUGUAGCGGUGGAAUGCGUAGAGAUCCGGAAGAACACCGGUGGCGAAGGCGGCCCGCUGGGCAGAGACUGACGCUGAGGCGCGACAGCGUGGGGAGCAAACAGG
rnacentral:rRNA from 1 species